CAUGAGUUGUAAAACUCCCCAACCCUUGUUACCUACCACUGUUACAGUUGCCUCGGCGGGCGGCCCAGGGCGGAGCCUCAGGCCCCCCGCAUUGGGGGGGGCGCCCGCCGCAGGCGCCCUUUAAACCUGUUGUAUCUAGUACCAUCUCUGAGUUACCUGCAGCAAAGCAGUCA
rnacentral:misc_RNA from 1 species